UCCUCCUAUAAUUCUUUGCCUUCACUAUUCAUUUACAGAGUUUAUAGCGUUUUCACUAGAUAGCACAGCAACAAAGCCCUGCACUUACACAGUUCGGUGCGAGACAACCAUUAGACCCAAUUGAUUACGUGUUAAUGUGCAUAUGCUAGCCAACAUCGCCAUGACAUCGCCUACAAGCGUGAUGUUCUAUUGGAGAAGCAGUUUCUUGCUAUCUUUAUACCGUAUUAUCUUUGGUUCCAGUCUAAAAGCCCACUUUCGAGGACAGCGUGUGGGAACAGACAUUUAGCUUGUAGUCUUUUGAGAUGUUGGGAGAAUGGAAAAGAAGAAGCCGUCCUCCUGUCCCCCAGCCAGCCUAACAUUUCCAGGGAGGUUAAACAGACCCAGAGCAAAGCCCCCCUGAAGGUCCCCUUGUCCAGCAGAAUGUUGCAAUGUCCCUGUUCCUGGAGAGCUACCCUCUUUAGGUUUUUUGCUCCAACCCUAAUCUAGUCCAUCUGAUUCUAAUAAUUAGCUGGUUGAUAAGCUAAAUCAGGUUAGCUAGAUCGAAAACAAAAUAUCAUACCCCCAACAAUGCGAACCUACCCUGUUAUUGUAAUGGUGAGAAGUUAGCAUGUCUUGGGGGUCUGUAACCAUCUCACUCAUCAAUAUUCACAAUUCAUUCAGGACUAUCAGUAAUCAUAGUAGCAUCCACAUUAAUGUAGUGUUUAGAAACAUAUUCUUAUUUACAAUGGAAUUUACUCCAAAAUGACACAAUACAUUAUUUACCAUUAAUUUCUAUUGGGCACAAAGUCAACUGAAACACAACUAAAACAAACAGUAAAUGCAAAUAACUUUGUAGUCACAAGCUUGAUGUAAUCAUUGUCUCUGAGAAAUAUGGGAUCAAAUGCUAAACUUUAGACUACUUUAAUACACAUAAAUGUAUUUGUCCAAAUACUUUUGGUCCCCUAAAAUAGAACUGUACAAAAUGUGCUGUUAUUUCUAAAUGGGCCACCUGAUAUGGAUGAAAAUUCCCUCAAAUGAAAGCGCAUAGUCAUUGUAUCAUUUAAAAUCCAAAUUGCUGGAGUAAAGAGCUAAAACACCCCAAAAAAUGUACUGUUCCAAUAGUUUUGGAGCCUUGUUAUUAUCUAUUGUGUUACUAUUUUCUAUUUUUGUCACUCAUUUUCUUACUUUUUAACUAUAUUCUUACUUUUUAACUGUAUUGUUGGGAAAGGGCUCGAAAGGAAGCAUUUCACGGUAAAGUGUACACCUGUUGCAUGUGAACAAAUAUUUAUUUUAUUUUAUCUUUAAUUCCACUUCUAUAAUAACUAAGAUUUCUCUCCUUCAACAAAGAUGUUAGCAUUUGCUAUUUUCCCAUGUUAAUACCAAUCCUGAGUUAGCAAAAAUUCAUUUUGACUGAGAAAAUAAAAACUAGAAGAUUAGAUUUAAUCACAUCAAAACACCUUUGACCUUUGGUCAUAAUUAAAAUGUUUAUGUGAUUCCAAUGUCACUGUUAACAAUUUUGUGGAAUUUCUUGAAGGUCAUCUGAAAAAUCGUACAUUAGGAAUGCUAAUAUUUAAUCCCUUCAUCCUGCAAGAUAACGAGCGAGUUGAUUGCAGCGCCAUCUGGUGACUAUUUAGGGAAUGGUAUUUUCUGUUUGGUGUGCAUAUUUUCAUUACAGGAAUAUGUAGGAUUGCCGGAGAAAAGAGAACAGGGGAAAAGUCAAUAUAACAUGCAAUGGUCAAUCAAAACAAAUAUAGACACUACUAUCAUAGGUGGUCAGGAAGAUCUGAUCAGUCAGAUCGUCGUAACCUAUUAGUGCUGAGAGAUUAGUGCUUUUGAGGUUGUUUCUGUUUGAUAAUUCUUUAAUAAUCACGGAAUUCGGUUUUGAUUAUUUGUGUUGAAUGCUGUAACAGAAAAUAAAACAACAAAUAAAAGUCCCAUGAUGGU